UACGGAGGGGGCAAGCGUUGUUCGGAGUUACUGGGCGUAAAGCGAGCGCAGGUGGUUUAUUAAGUCUGGUGUAAAAGGCAGUGGCUCAACCAUUGUAUGCAUUGGAAACUGGUAGACUUGAGUGCAGGAGAGGAGAGUGGAAUUCCAUGUGUAGCGGUGAAAUGCGUAGAUAUAUGGAGGAACACCGGUGGCGAAAGCGGCUCUCUGGCCUGUAACUGACACUGAGGCUCGAAAGCGUGGGGAGCAAACAGG
rnacentral:rRNA from 1 species